GACGAACGCUGGCGGCGUGCUUAACACAUGCAAGUCGAACGGAAAGGCCCUGCGCUUGUGGGGUGCUCGAGUGGCGAACGGGUGAGUAACACGCGAGUAACCUGCCCUUGACUUUGGGAUAACUUCAGGAAACUGGGGCUAAUACCGGAUAGGAGCUCCUGCAGCACGUGGGGGGUUGGAAAGAUUCGGCGGUGGGGGAUGGAAUAGCGGGUCAUGAGCUAGCUGGGGGGGUAGGCGCUGUCCAAGGCUUUGACGGGUAGGCGGCCUGGGAGGGUGGCCGGCCACCAUGGGACUGCGAGACGGCCCAGUCUCCUACGUUCGGCAGUAGUCGAGAAUCUUGCACAACGGCCGGACGCCUGAUGCAACAACGCCGGGUGCGGGAUAACCGCCUUCUGGUUAUAAACCGCUUUCGCCUGUGACGUAGCCUGCGUGACGGUACUGAAUAAAGAAGCACCGGCUAACUACGUG
rnacentral:rRNA from 1 species